UACGUAGGGUGCAAGCGUUGUUCGGAAUUAUUUGGGCGUAAAGGGCUCGUAGGCGGUCUGUUGCGUCGGGAGUGAAAACUUACAGCUUAACUGUGAGCGUGCUUUCGAUACGGGCAGACUUGAGGCAUCAGGGGAGAACGGAAUUCCUGGUGUAGCGGUGAAAUGCGCAGAUAUCAGGAGGAACACCGAUGGCGAAGGCAGGUCUCUGGGCAUUAACUGACGUGAGGAGCGAAAGCAUGGGGAGCGAACAGG
rnacentral:rRNA from 1 species